rnacentral:rRNA from 2 species
UGGGGAAUAUUGCACAAUGGGGGAAACCCUGAUGCAGCAACGCCGCGUGAAGGAAGACGGUUUUCGGAUUGUAAACUUCUAUCAACGGGGAAGAAAAAAAUGACGGUACCCGAAUAAGAAGCCCCGGCUAACUACGUGCCAGCAGCCGCGGUAAUACGUAGGGGGCAAGCGUUAUCCGGAAUCACUGGGUGUAAAGGGUGCGUAGGCGGUUAUGCAAGUCAGAUGUGAAAUACCGAGGCUCAACUUCGGAACUGCAUUUGAAACUGUGUGACUAGAGUACAGGAGAGGUAAGUGGAAUUCCUAGUGUAGCGGUGAAAUGCGUAGAUAUUAGGAAGAACACCAGUAGCGAAGGCGACUUACUGGACUGAAACUAACGCUGAGGCACGAAAGCGUGGGGAGCAAACAGG